GUGUCAGCAGCCGCGGUAAAACGUAGGUGGCGAGCGUUAUCCGGAUUUACUGGGCGUAAAGCGUGUGCAGGCGGUCGUUCAAGUGGUGUAUGAAAUCGCCCGGCUUAACCGGGCGGGGUUAGGCCAGACUGGACGACUGGAGUGCGGGAGAGGGGCGUGGAAUUCCGGGUGUAGUGGUGAAAUGCGUAGAGAUCCGGAGGAACCCCAGAGGCGAAGGCGGCGCCCUGGCCCGCAACUGACGCUCAGACACGACAGCAUGGGGAGCGAACGGGAUUAGAAACCCCAGUAGUCC
rnacentral:rRNA from 1 species